UUAUAAACAGGCACAUCCUUUGGCUUUAGGGCAUAGAGAUUCCCUGCUUUCCACACAAUCAAAAGGUGAUCAAACUUUGCUCUAUCUGUCCAGCAACAACAUUACUUAGCUGGUAAGUCUGCAUUUGCCUUCUGCAAUCUGCCGACCACUAUAUACAUACAGACACAACUCGCCUGCUCAAACAAUUCAACACAUCAAGAAAACUGAAAUAGAGAAAUAUAAUGGAGGAGCUGCCAGAGAACUGCAUAAUGAAAAUAUUAACCUUCGCAGGUCCCCAGGAGUCAUGCAGGC
rnacentral:lncRNA from 1 species